AACGUCUGGUUUUUGGACAAGUACGAGAAAGUUAAUUUUCACGGUGAGUUGACGGAUCCGACGAAGAGGAGGACGACUAGUGGCAUAAUCGGAGGUGGUCAGCGCAGAUGUUGCACUCGGUGCAGGCGGUUUACAACACCGCAACUUUCCACCCACAAACGCUCACCUCGCGACGGCGCAGCUCCAGCUGAAUGAACCUGGACAGCUAGCCGGAAAAUCUGUCAUUCUCGAAGGAGGAUGAAGUGCUCAAAAUCGAAUUCUGUUCCAAGGAUCUCAUCAACCCCAUGUUCCGGAUGCGCUUCCAGGAUCGGGAUCUCCCCGUUCAAGCACUUCACUUCCCAGUCGGGAAACCCUUCCCGAAUCAACGGCCAACUCCUCCAAGACUGUCCUGAUGAAGUCCGGCAACGUGACCAUCCUGUUCUCUACACUGCUGUCGCGCAUCGAAACGUCCAUCCGGAACCGUCCAGCCUGGGGUCUUCGGAAGUGACCGGUGGCGUACCGUAAGAAUCGGUACAGCUUGGACUCUGAUGUUGGCCAACCUUGAGCAGAAGCGUUAAAUACAUUAUACAAAUGUUUUUUUUUAGCUUGCCGUUUUGACUUUUAAAAAUAAAUAUGAAAAUCAAGCUCAUUUUUUGAAAUUAUCACUGUAGUAUUAAAUGUAGUUUAUUCUUGCCAUAAAAGGUUUACUUUCCAACAAAAAGUAAAACACUUUUACCGAUACAACGAUUUUGUUCCAUAAAUGCAUGGUAGUAUCAAAAACUUUCCAACUUUUAAAUUAAAAAGUUUGAACUUUCUACGAAUAUUCACCAACGCGAACUUUUAAUCCAACGAGCGAUCUUUUUAAAUUUAGAGUAUUUUUUCUUCGUGUGUAUACCAAACCAUGUUAUUCCAAGGGCCACAAAAAAAACCAUUUCAAUACCAAGUUGAGGUCUUCUGGAUUUUUGAACAUUGCUUGAAUACCAAAACUUGGUAUUGCCAUGGUUUUAUUUUUAGGUAUUCCUGCGCCCUUGGAAAAUCAGAUUUUGGGUUUCCUGUGGUCUCACCUGGUUAUGGUUUUGAAGAUAUUUUAAGGUUAGGCACCACGCAGAAUAACCUCUUCUUGAUGAUUAGUUAUAGCAAGAAAGGUCACGCGAUCAGGAUCGCGACGAGGAUCGGAAUGUAGAUGGCGGUGUUGCGGCCCGGAUUGGAGCCGAACAUUCAUUAGCUGUAGAACUCGCAAUGCGCAACGCUGAACUCGGGAUGAUUCACACACGCUAGAUCGUUGUCAAUUUGUGGCACUGGCCACCGUUCUUGUACAGAUCGUGAUAACCUGAAGAAGAAGAUUAGGGGUUGAAAUCGUAUAGGUUGAAAUCUACGCUCUACUCACCCUUCAAACUAGAUGGAUUGGCGAGGCUUCGUUAAACCACACUUGUACGCGGUCAUACGGGCAACUCGAAUACGCCGGGUCGUUUGGGGGCUGCAGCUGAGCAUUAUCAGCUAGCGAUUUUGCACCGCUAGUUCCGGUCUGGACCGCACAAACACCACAUCCUCCCCGUCCGUGGCGAACGACGAUCGUCAGAUUGGGUAUUUUGUUUUUUUUUUUCACGCACUUUUUGGAACUCUCCAGCCUCGACUUCGUUGAGCUGGGUGUGGCAGAUCUGUCACCAUUGCUGCCACCCGGGAACUGGAAUGUAGGUUUUGAUGGAAUCGAUGGAAAUCGCCUUGCAGUCAAAAAGCUGUCGUAACCGGCACCAGCAGUCCCAGACGGCGGAUGAUUACGGGUGUGCUUAUAGUUGAGACACUCCUACCGGCUCAAAAUCUAAGCAUCUGACGUGGUUCUGGCGAUCGAGACGAAUUUCUGCUCCACGCUUACCUGUUGCAGCCGGUCUUAAGAACCGCACACGGUGCCAUCGCAGUCAUUAUUUUACCGGAACGUUUCAAAAACAGAGACAUUAAUCUGUUUGUAAAAAAUGUUUUUGCCGACUGAAUGACGUUUCAUCUGGCUUUUGUGUGUUUUUUUUACAUUCUGUUUUGCAUGUCUGUUCUGUUGGUUGAAACACAUGGGCGUAUGUAGUAAAAAUUGGGUUUCAAAACUUUUGCUGCUACCCAAUCAAACCGUUUUCCGCAUGACGGGUUCAUUCCGCUUCGAAUUCCGCUUCGAAAAUUGCUUCGAAAUUUUCUAAACGGAAUCUCCGGUUGGACUCCGUUUAGAUUCCGUUUGAGCCAUUUUGGUACAUUAGCGACACCUGCUGGUGUACGGCCGAACUUCAGUGACACUUCGCCGCGUUUCGCCGAAGCGGUUUUUCUUGCAUAGUGUGAGUGUGGUCUGCUGAAGCAAACGUCAAACGUGCGUCAAAGUGUGCGCUAGAAAAUUUCGCGAUCGCAGCAGUCGAAGCCCACGCGGAAGAAAUCCUCUUCCAAUGGAUAAUUUUUGAGGUUUGAACUUGCUUUCAAGUGGAGGAAUAUUAUUAAUAAAUAUUAACAUUAUUUUUGCUUUUGCAGAACCAAGCCAAUCCAGCCAGGAGGGAAGUCUCAACGAACUUUUGCAGCACAUUCUAUCGUUGCUGUCGCACGGCAAGCAAAAUGAAUUCGGCCUCGCCAACUCGACGUACACGCGCUUUGUUCAGCAGGUGUGCCGGGACUUUCCGCGGGAACAUGCACCGGUGGUGCUAACGCCACUGCUCUACCCAAUGGAAUCGGAAGUUUCGGCCGAAUCGCUGCUGCGGUCGUCCGCAAUGGACACUGCCUGCUGCUGGAGAACCACGAAAAGAAGCUCAACGAGGCGGACGGAGCGGGAAAGUUCAAGCGCGAGCGGAGUUCGGAAAGUUCAAGGUCCCGAAGAAGGCCCAAUUCGAUCUGGUCAUCCUAGUGGAGCUGCACGGGUUUAGUGAUGGCAAGGGAUCCGGAGUGUCGACCGGUGCCGCCUAGAAUGACGUUUUAGGCCGCCCCGAGGGAUAGUUUUUUUUUGUUAAACUGGAAACAAACAUCAAAAAUAAAGGGGCUUGGGGUUGGAUCGCGUUUUAUUUAACGACAAAUAAAUAAAAAAUAGUUUUAAAAUAAUAAAAACCACUUGUUGAAGCAACCUUUCUGGUUGAAUUCGAAUCUAAUUUGAACUCAACCUAUAGACAAAAAAGAAAACCAGAAAGAAAAUAAGAAAAAGAAGAAGCUGUCAAAGCCAACCUGUCCAUUCCGUUUCGAUUCCGUUUAAAUUCCGCUUGAACCGAUUUGCGGCGAAAACUCAAACGGAACCGGUUGUUGCGUUUGAAACGGAAUACGUUUUAGAAUCUAAAACGAACACUGUUUAGAAUUCGAAUCGAACUUUUUUCGCUCAAGCGGAAUUCUAAAUGGAAUUCAAACGGAACGCGCUGAGUGGGUAGGGCUUGCGCUGUUAGCCAAACCAGGGAUGUCAGAUGCACAAAUUUGUACUUGGGCAGAUUUCUUUAGGUGAUUAAUUGUUAAUUGAUUUGCUAAACUUUUUAUCUGUAAGUUCGACAAAUCUAGAAUUUUCAUAUCUUGCUUUUUGAGUGUUUUAAAAUACCCCUGGCUUAAGGCGGUUUCUAAAACAUUCAAAAAGCUAAAAUUGCAAAAUUUGAAUUUUAAAAUUUUGAAAUUCAGGUUAAAGCGGUGUAUGCACAUCGGAAGGAACCGGUCAAGAAUUUUUUUAAAUGGGCAGCAGCGGCAGCGAAAACCAGCCAGAUAGGGUGAAGAAAAGCCCCAAGAAAACGCUCCCUCUCCUUUGUUCUGCUGUUCGUAAAGCUGUUUCUUGACCCCUUUCCUUCCGAUCUCCAUACUAGCCUUAAAAUAAAUCUAUGUCCUUUCACAAAUUUUACAUAUAAACGCUAGAUUUUACUCAAUAUUUUUCUCAAAUAUUGUGAAAAGAACCUGGGUUUAUCAAAUUUUAAAUUUCUAGAUUUUUUUUAGAGGUCCUGCAAACAAAAUUUAAAUUUUGACAUAAAAAAAGCCGAUUACCAACCUUUAAUUUGCGUGUGUGACAUUGCGUGUUGUAAGUGACAUUGCGUGGAAAAGCGUGACAAACGGAGGGAGGGUGGGUAAAUUUUGGCUGAUUUGAGCAUGACGUACUUUAUGGAUGAAGCCUUGGUCAGGAAUAGCCGGCUUUUUGCCCAUGCAGCAAAACUUGUUCGUCGAUAAUACUGUCACUGCCACGGUACUGUUGACGAAUGAAACGAAAAGAAAGCGCUGACAAAAACAGAACAACAAUCAGAACAGGAAAAAAACACAAAAAAAGCAUGUGUUUCUAUAGAUUUCUUCAAAAAACAUUAAAACACAUCAAAAGUAGUUUAAAAUUGUGGUAAGAAAUUAAGCUGCCAGCGGCCCAACGACAAGCAGUCCAAAUCUCAGAUCAGCCGUUGUUUUUGGAGAGCCCAGAAGGGAUUGGAGAUGCGGAAUUUUCUAGAUUCAGUUAAUGGAAUCGAUCCGGCUGGAUUUUUUUAGAUUGUGGACAUCUCCAGCUUUGUGCACUCGAGGAAGAAUGUACCCAAGUAACCACAAGCAUUAAAUCAAAACUCUAAAUUCACUCUAACAUAGCAUUCCCGGUACUUUGAAACUUUUGUAACAGUUGCACUUGUUAGCAUUUAUUUAUUUAUUUAUUUUGGUUUUUCCGUUCGUCUUUAAAUGUAAUUUGAUCUCCGUUACCACGGUAGUCAAUGUUGGUGAUGUUAGCCCUCACGAUCGUUGGUAACUUUCGUUACCGGUUUAAGACCUGGAGAGAGAAUCUCGCGGAGGUCGCUCAUAUGUUGAAUCCUUCGGGAAGACGGACGGUCAGAGCCAUUGCCGACCGCUAGAGUGAGACGGGAACUCAGAUCUUUAAAGAUCCGAAGAAGCCCGAGGAACCUAGUACUCGUUCACUUUGUCCCAGACCUUUGUGAAGUGUGGAGUGCGCGGACUUUUAUCCCGGGUUCCCCUUUUUCCAGUCCUGAGGUUUGAAAGUGGCGUGGUAGUGCUUCCGGUUAGGUCUUAAAUUCUAACUUCUCCCCUUAGCCUAGUGCGCGGCCUAGCUAGAGAUCAGGUAAACCGUUACCCCGUGCGAAUUAUCCCCGUGCAUGUGCUAACCUCAUUCGCGAAGUUCGAAGGCUUCGCUUCCUUUCGCCCUACCAGCCAAGCAGCACCAGAAGGAGAUCGAGCGCGCGUCCACCACCGCCCCGCAUCGAGUGUGGGACAAGUUUCAUCCCGGCGCACGCUACAUUGCCGGAAGGGACGAGCCGUCAACAUCUCGUCCGAAGGAGUGUCUCGGAACUCCUGGCGGUCGAACCGCCCACGUGCUGGCCCGGAAAGCCAAGUUCCGGCCCGCGCAACUUCAUCGAAGUCGACCGCGCGAUCGCAGGUCGAACCGACAUUGUCGUCCACGCCGGCUACGAGCACGCGGCGAGGAACAGCAGCAGCAGCAUCAGCAAGUAACAGGAGCAACAGCAGUCCGGUGAGUCCGUUCUUUUUCAUCGGAUGAAGGGUGACGGCCACGAAAGGCGUCACGAACGUUUUUCCGUUCCGGCUGCGGCCGUAGAGCGGACGCCAUUUUGAUGGAGGGCGUCCAUUUUGUUUAAAGCGCGUGUUGCCAUGCGCUCGGGGUGUGACGGCCUUUAUUGACACGCCCCACACGUCCACGAAACAGCACUCUAGUGACUUUUGUCUGCCGCAGUCCGCUUGACUGCCGGUGACGUCAGCGAUCAGCUGUUCCAGCUGACGAGCUGAAGAUUUGAGGUUCGGCAGCAAGCACAAAAGCACGGGGUAACAGAAGAACAAACAGUAGAAGUAGGGAGAGCAAACGCACACAGUAGGAAGAUGGUUAGGUAGACGUUGAAGACGAAACAAUGAAUGAAAAAUACAAAACCUUAGACUAGUCCAAUAAAAUGAGCACCUCUUUUUGAUUU